CCUAAAAAUUCUCCACGCUGAAGCUGCUUCGUCCUGAUCUCCCCUCUCCUCGCGACAGCGCCGACUCUUCCCCCUCUUCUGCCUCGAUCGACGCCGAUGGUCAUCUCAUCACCGGCGCCAACCACCCGAGCUUUGAUCCGGCCGUUGCUCUCUCCUUUCUCUCUCGCGCGGACGACCCGACGCCGACGGAGAGGCUUUUUCCAUCGCGAUCUCGCCUUCACACGUCGUCGGAGAGGAAGUGGCAUUAGAUCUCGACGGUACCUAUUAUCUCCGGCUGUGCGAUUUCAUCUUCAACGGUUUCUUGCUCACGAUCGGCCACUGCUUCACGGCUAGGGCACGGUGAGGGAGGUGAGAUUCGAGCCCUAAUUGCCUCUUGUGGGUAUCCAGCGCCUCCUCAUCGUCGAAGCUUGGAUCAAGGAAAUCCACUUCACUGAAUUCCGGUUCCUCUUUCUCGUUGGUGUUGAUUGGAUGCUGAUCCUAGUGUGGACGGUCUGUCAAUGUAGGAAUUGGAGUAAGCUUUGGUCAGUUUAGUGAAUCCACAAUUUUGGUGAUCCAAUCUCGGCAGUGAACCUCUGAUCGUGUUCCACCUACAGUUAUCAGAGAUUUGGGUGAUUGGAGGUGUUUGAAUUGAAGGGGGACAUCCAUUUCUACAUAGCAGUUGCUGGUUCUUUUAUUGAGGGAUUUCACAUUCGGUUUGGUUGUCAGCAGGAGCUUUUGGAGGCUGUGGGCAGUGGUUAGUAGAGACUGUGAGCUUUUGAUCUGUUGCUGUCUCUUAAGGACUUGGAUUCGAGAUGUGCGUCUCGACGUGGGAUUAGUUUGUCACGAUCGA